GUAACAAGGUUUCCGUAGGUGAACCUGCGGAAGGAUCAUUAGUGAAUUAAACAUGCUUGGUGUCUUCGCUUCGGCAAGGCCCUUGCUUAAAUCACAUCCUAACACCUGUGAACUGUAAGACGUAUGAUGAGGUCUUUGGCCAAGUCAUCGUCUGCCCAUUUUUAACAAACAAUUAAUGUAACAAACGUAGUCUUAUUAUAACCUAAUAAAACUUUCAACAACGGAUCUCUUGGCUCUCGCAUCGAUGAAGAACGCAGCGAAAUGCGAUAAGUAAUGUGAAUUGCAGAAUUCAGUGAAUCAUCGAAUCUUUGAACGCACCUUGCGCUCUUUGGUAUUCCGAAGAGCAUGCCUGUUUGAGUGUCAUGAAAAUAUCAACCUUGACUUGGGUUUUGUGCUCUAGUCUUGGCUUGGAAUUGGGUGCUUGCCGCUUUUACGAGCGGCUCACCUUAAAUGUAUUAGCUGGAUCUGUCUUUGAGACUUGGUUUGACUUGGCGUAAUAAGUAUUUCGCUAAGGACAUUCUUCGGAGUGGCCUCGUUUCUAGGACGCUUGUCCGCUUCCCAAUACAAGUUCCACCUCGUGGACAUGACUUUUUUAUUAUCUGGCCUCAAAUCAGGUAGGACUACCCGCUGAACUUAAGCAUAUCA
rnacentral:misc_RNA from 1 species